GGCUCAGAUUGAACGCUGGCGGAUCUUCCCCACAUACAAGUCGAACGGCAGCACGGUUUCGGUCUGCAGGUGGCGAGUGGCGAACGGGUGAGUAAUGUAUCGGAACGUGCCUAGUAGCGGGGGAUAACUACGCCAGCGUAGCUAAUACCGCAUACGCCCUUCAGGAGAAGCACAGGGGGGACCUUCGGGCCUCACUAUGAAACAGCCGAUAUCAGGUUAGCUAGUUGGUGGGGUAACGGCUCACCGGGGCGUGAUCGUAGCUGGUUUGAGAGGACGACCAGCAGCCACUGGGACUGAGACACAGCCCAGACUCUACGGGAGGCAGUGGAGGAAUUUUGGACAAUGGGGAAACCCUGAUCCAGCUUCAUCGCGUGUGCGAUAAGAAGGCCUUCAGGUUGUAAAAGCGCACUUUGGCAGAAGAAACUGGCCUGGGAUAAUGCCCGUGCAACUGACGGCUGCAGAAUAGCACCGGCUAACUACGUGCCAGCAACCAUGGUAAUACGUAAAGGUCACAAGCGUUAAUCGGAAUUACUGGGCGUAAAGCGUGCCAGACGGUUCGGAAAGAAGAUGCUUAAAUCCCAGAGCUUAACUUUGGAACUGCAUUUUUAACUACCGAGCUAGAGUGUCAGAGGGAGGUGGAAUUCACGUGUAACGGUGAAGCGUAGAUAUGCGGAGGAACACCGAUCAUGAAGGCAGCCUCUGGGAUAACACUGACGCUCAUGCACGAAAGCGUGAGGCGACAAGUUAGAUACCUGGUAGUCCACGCCUAAACGAUGUCAACUAGCUGUUGGGGCCUUCGGGCCUUGUUGGCGCAAUAACGCGUGAAGUUGACCGCCUGGGGAAGUACGGUCGCAAGAUUCAAAAACUCCGGAGAAUUGACGGACCCGCACAAGCGGUGGAUGAUGUGGAUUAAUUCGAUGCAACGCGAAAAACCUUACCUACCGCCGGCAUGUCUGGAAUCCCGAAGAGAUUUGGGAGUGCUCGCAAGAGAACCGGAACACAGGUGCUGCAUGGCUGUCGUCAGCUCGUGUCGUGAGAUGUUGGGUUAAGUCCACCAGCAAGCCGCAACCCUUGUCGGCUUAGUUGCUACGAAAGGGCACUCUAAUGCGAGACUGCCGGUGACAAACCGGAGGAAGAGGUGGGGAUGACGUCAAGUCUCUGGCCCUUAUGGGUAGGGCUUCACACAUCAUACAAUGGUCGGGACCAGAGGUCGCCAACCCACGAGAGACCCAAUCCAGAGGCAGUGUGAGUGGAUCCUGCAGUCUGCAACUCAAGCUGCGUGAAGUCAGGAGAAUCGCUAGUAAUCGCGGAUCAGCAUGUCGCGGUGAAUACGUUCGGGUCUUGUACACACCGCCCGUCACACCAUGGGAGUGGGUUUGCAAGUAGUUAAGCCUAACCACGGGCGAUUACGGUAGGAUUCAUGACUGGGGCCGAAGUCGUAGCUGAGUAA
rnacentral:rRNA from 1 species